UAGUCCACGCCGUAAACGAUGAGCACUAGUUGUAGGGUAGGUUACUACUCUGUGAUGAAGCUAACGCAUUAAGUGCUCCGCCUGGGGAGUACGGCCGCAAGGCUAAAACUCAAAGGAAUUGACGGGGGCCCGCACAAGCGGUGGAUCAUGUGGUUUAAUUCGAAGCAACGCGAAGAACCUUACCUGGGUUUGAAAUCCCGAGAAUCUGCAAGAAAUUGCGGAGUGCCCUUCGGGGAAUUCGGUGACAGGUGCUGCAUGGCUGUCGUCAGCUCGUGUUGUGAAAUGUUGGGUUAAGUCUCGCAACGAGCGGAACCCCUGUUCUUAGUUGCCAGCAUUAAGUUGGGCACUCUAGGAAGACCGCGGGGUUAACCCGGAGGAAGGUGGGGAUGACGUCAAGUCCUCAUGGCCCUUAUAUCCAGGGGCUACACACGUGAUACAAUGGGGUAACACAAAGGGGAAGCAAUACCGC
rnacentral:rRNA from 1 species